rnacentral:rRNA from 1 species
UUAUGGUUCCUUARAUUGWACCAACAUUUACAUGGAUAACUGUGGUAAUUCUAGAGCUAAUACAUGCAAACAGAGCUCCAACCGGAGACGGAAGGAGUGCUUUUAUUAGAUCAAAACCAAUCGGCAGCAUAAUAUAUAUAUAGUUUACGCUGUAUAUAUUUUUAUGUUUGUCAUAUUAAAAUGGUGAAUCUGAAUAACUUUAUGCUGAUCGCAUGGUCUUGCACCGGCGACAUAUCUUUCAAAUGUCUGCCUUAUCAACUGUCGAUGGUAGGAUCUGCGCCUACCAUGGUUGUAACGGGUAACGGGGAAUCAGGGUUCGAUUCCGGAGAGGGAGCCUGAGAAACAGCUACCACAUCCAAGGAAGGCAGCAGGCGCGCAAAUUACCCACUCCCAGUACGGGGAGGUAGUGACGAAAAAUAACGAUACGGGACUCAUCCGAGGCCCCGUAAUCGGAAUGAGUACACUUUAAAUACUUUAACGAGUAUCAAUUGGAGUGCAAGUCUGGUGCCAGCAGACGCGGUAAUACCAGCUCCAAUAGCGUAUAUUAAAGUUGUUGCGGUUAAAAAGCUCGUAGUUGAAUUUGUGUUUCACACUGUCGGUUCACCGCCCGCGGUGUUUUAACUGGCAUGUUUUUAUGUGAAACGUAUUGCCGGUGGAUGUUAGUGUCUUUGUAUAUUUACUUCAUAAAUUUUAAAAUAUAUUUACAAGAUUUGUCUUUUAUAUAUCCUCUUAACCGGGGGUAUUAAUUGUACAAUAUUGUAAUAUAUUUAUUUAUGUUUAGUGGUUACAUUGUACCUGCAUCCGGCUUAUUACCUUUGUAAUAUUAGGUUUAAUAAGUUAAUCCUUGUUCAUAGUGCUCUUAAUUGAGUGUCAUGGCAGGCCGGCACAUUUACUUUGAACAAAUUAGAGUGCUUAAAGCGGGCUAAAAUAAUGCCUGAAUAUUAUAUGCAUAGAAUAUUAGAAUAAGAAUUUGGCUCUAUAUUUAACGGUUGGUUUUAAGAGCUACCAAAUUAAUGAUUAAUAGAAACAGUUGGGGGUAUUCGUAUUGCGACGUUAGAGGUGAAAUUCUUGGAUCGUCGCAGGACGGACUAAAGCGAAGGCAUUUGCCAAAAAUGUUUUCAUUAAUCAAGAACGAAAGUCAGAUGCUCGAAGGCGAUCAGAUACCGCCCUAGUUCUGACCGUAAACGAUGCCAGUUGGCGAUCCGUCGACGUUCCUUAGAUGACUCGACGGGCAGCCUCCGGGAAACCAAAACUUUUGGGUUCCGGGGGAAGUAUGGUUGCAAAGCUGAAACUUAAAGGAAUUGACGGAAGGGCACCACCAGGAGUGGAGCCUGCGGCUUAAUUUGACUCAACACGGGAAACCUCACCAGGCCCGGACACCGGAAGGAUUGACAGAUUGAUAGCUCUUUCUUGAUUAGGUGGGUGGUGGUGCAUGGCCGUUUUUGGUUCGUGGGGCGACUUGUCUGCUUAAUUGUGCUAACGAACGAGACUCUAACCUACUAAAUAGGCGUAUAUUACCGGUAUCUUAAAGAUUCGUAAAUACAUGUGUUAUACGGCAUAUUUUAAUUAUAUAUAUAUAAUUUUAUAUGUUUGUUUAACCAUGUUUUUUGCGGUUUUUACUACCGGCGUACAUAAAUAUCUUCUUAGGGGGAUAAGUAGCAUUUAGCUACCAGAGAUUGAGCAAAAAYAGGUCUGUGAUGCCCUUAGAUGUUCUGGGCCGCACGCGCGCUACACUGAAGGAAUCAGCGUGUUUUCCUUGACCGAAUGGUCCGGGUAACCCGUUGAACCUCCUUCGUGCUAGGGAUUGGGGAUUGCAAUUAUUCCCCAUGAACGAGGAAUUCCUAGUAAGCGCGAGUCAUAAGCUCGCGUUGAUUACGUCCCUGCCCUUUGUACACACCGCCCGUCGCUACUACCGAUUGAAUGAUUUAGUGAGGUCUUCGGACUGGUGCACGAUUAUGUCUUAUUGUACAUAAUUGAUGUUUCAUUGGAAAGAUGACCAAACUUGAUCAUUUAGAGGAAGUAA